rnacentral:lncRNA from 10 species
CUCUGAAUGUCGGCGGCUCCAAAAGGGUGACGUGGAGAUGUUGCCGCUCCCGCCCAGGGCUGCUUUGCAGUCGGGGAGAGAUCCUGGCUGAAGAGAUUUAAGGACGGCGGACCGCAUCGGCGCGAAUUGAGCUCUGGGCCCAAAUAUGAAGUGGCAUCCGGUGUGAGGCUCGACUGGGCGGUGCUCGAGCGCUGCUGGGGGAAGCCCAGGCCUCCAAGCCUCAGGGGCGCGCGACCGACCGCGCUGCGCUUCCAGGCGGGGCUGCGGGCUUCGCUCCUGGCCGCUCUGGGCCUGAAAGGCUGCACCGCCACCUGCGUGAGGCCACCGGACAGGACUGUGAGGAUCACAGUCGGUGAAGCAGAGUGCUUUGUAAACCUCAGAGUGCGGUACUCGUGGUGCUGGAGCCGAGAAACCAGCAGCAGCUGCUGAGAGCCGACUGUGAAGAAAUGGGAGGAACUCCGUGUUGGGAGCGAGAGGCUUCGAAAGAACUGGCCACGCAGUCAAGUGUGUGUGGCGGGGCAAGUUUCCCGGAGAAAGCGAGCAGUUUAUGUUGGAGCUUGAAGUCAGGAUAACCAGUUUUGCCUUUUUUCUGUGAACCAGCUCCAAAACAAUGCUUUACUUCAGCCCGGUCUUUUUGCAGGAAGACCAUCUGCUUAGCUUAGUUCUACAAACUUUUUCAUUUUUAAUGUGCAAAGAACAGGCGGGGAGAGCCAAAAUAAAUCUUACAACGCAAAUUUAAAAGCUGCGUACGUCAUUUAAGUGGAAAAGUAAAUUCUGAGGAAAGAGACUCAAGAACAAAAUAGGAAAAAUGGAAAUAAGUAUUCUCUGACAGUAAACUAGACUGGAACUCAGGGAUAGGCAGGAUCAUCUCCAUUACAUUCUCCAGCACUGGCCGGGCGCAGUGGCUCCUGCCUGUAAUUCCAGCACUUUGGGAAGGCGAGGCAGGAGAAUGGCUUGAGGCCAGGAGUUCAGGACCAGCCUGGGGAACAUAGGGAGACCCCAUCUCUACAAAUAAAAAAAUUUAGGAAUUAGUCGGGCUUGGUGGUGUGUCCCUGUAGCCCUAGCUACUUGGGAGGCCUAAGCAGAACAAUCGUUUGAGUCCAGGAGUUAGAGGUUAGUGAGCACUACUGCACUCCAGCCUGGGCAACAGCAUGAUUCCGUAGGAAAAAAACAUAUUUUUUUAUAUGUAUAUAUUUUAUAUAUAUACAUAUAUAUUUUCUUAGUCCUUAAGACUGGGCCACAUACAAACACUAAGCAUAACUGGCUAUUAUGAUAAUAGUAAAGUGAAACAAGUAUAAAAUGUUA